GACGAACGCUGGCGGCGUGCUUAACACAUGCAAGUCGAACGGUGAAGCUCCAGCUUGCUGGAGUGGAUCAGUGGCGAACGGGUGAGUAACACGUGAGCAACCUGCCCCUGACUCUGGAAUAAGCGCUGGAAACGGCGUCUAAUACUGGAUACGAGAAGGGUCCGCAUGGGCACUUUCUGGAAAGUUUUUCGGUUGGGGAUGGGCUCGCGGCCUAUCAGCUUGUUGGUGAGGUAAUGGCUCACCAAGGCGACGACGGGUAGCCGGCCUGAGAGGGCAACCGGCCACACUGGGACUGAGACACGGCCCAGACUCCUACGGGAGGCAGCAGUGGGGAAUAUUGCACAAUGGGCGAAAGCCUGAUGCAGCGACGCCGCGUGAGGGAUGACGGCCUUCGGGUUGUAAACCUCUUUCAGCAGGGAAGAAGCGAAAGUGACGGUACCUGAAGAAGAAGCACCGGCUAACUACGUG
rnacentral:rRNA from 1 species